GGGAAUGUAGCUUAGUGGUAGAGUACUUGCCUAGCAUGCAUGAAGCCCUGGGUUUAAUCCCUCAGUACCA
rfam:Dipodomys ordii contig_27509, whole genome shotgun sequence.